rnacentral:tRNA from 1 species
GCAUUGGUGGUUCAGUGGUAGAUUCUCAUCUUCCAUGUAGGAGAGCUGGGUUUGAUUCCCGGCCGGUGCA